rnacentral:rRNA from 1 species
CCUACGGGCGGCAGCAGUGGGGAAUAUUGGACAAUGGGCGAAAGCCUGAUCCAGCCAUGCCGCGUGUGUGAAGAAGGCCUUCGGGUUGUAAAGCACUUUCAGUGGGGAAGAAAGCCUUGGGGCUAAUACCCUCGAGGAAGGACAUCACCCACAGAAGAAGCACCGGCUAACUCCGUGCCAGCAGCCGCGGUAAUACGGAGGGUGCGAGCGUUAAUCGGAAUUACUGGGCGUAAAGCGCGCGUAGGCGGUCUGAUAAGCCGGUUGUGAAAGCCCCGGGCUCAACCUGGGAACGGCAUCCGGGACUGUCAGGCUAGAGUGCAGGAGCGGAAGGUGGAAUUCCCGGUGUAGCGGUGAAAUGCGGAGAGAUCGGGAGGAAUACCAGUGGCGAAGGCGGCCUUCUGGACUGACACUGACGCUGAGGUGCGAAAGCGUGGGUAGCAAACAGGAUUAGAUACCCCGGUAGUC